rnacentral:tRNA from 4 species
CGUCUAGAGGCCCAGGACACCGCCCUUUCACGGCGGUAACAGGGGUUCGAAUCCCCUA